rnacentral:lncRNA from 1 species
CCAAGUGCAAUAUUCAAACCACAAGCCCUGGCCACCUUACAGACCAGCUCAUUCGUUCCAUGUUUAAUGGAUGAAGUUACCAAGAUUCAGGCAAGGAGGGGAACUCAUGAAAUUCAUACCCAAGUUAGAAGUGUCCACAAUGGAACUGAAGUCUCCAGACCACAGGAGAAAAAGGCCUGCCACCACUGUCUGGAGAAGGUCAUAUCAUCUGGCUCGACAGUAAGGCUGCACGCAUGGAAGUUAGACCUUGAACUCAAAAAGACUUGCUUGCAUUCAAGACCUACAUCUACCCCAGCUCGGGAGGGACAGGGAAUUUCUGGGAUGAAUUCUGCAGAAGGGUGCUCUGAAAGGAAGGAGAAACAAGCGAUAUGGUGACACAAAUCUCUGUUUCCUCAAGUCUCCUAUAAAGCCUGCUGCGCGACCUUGUCUUCAGCUGGACUGGAGCACCACGAACUCCAGGGGUAAAGGGAAGCGUCUAGAGCCCGAUUCCUUCACCAGUGAGUAUGUCAUUGAGUUAUUUGCUGAAUUAUCCUCCAAACUAUAAUUUGCAUCCUGUUUUCUGGCAGCCUACAUUUUUGUAGUUGGAUGGGAGACAGCUUCCUGUUCUCUGCAAUUGGAAAGCGGUUUAAGUACAUCACACCUGUAAACAGAGCUCCUAACUGGCAUCCACAGAGUAGCCCAAAGAAGGCAGGGACUCCCCAAGAGCAGUGAGCCAGCCCCCCAUCUCAGGAGGUAUCCAAGCAGAGUCAGAGACCAAAUAGAAGGUUUCAUAAUUAAACGGGCAGGAAGACAAGAGGGCUUAAAGAAGUUCAGUUUUCUUUCCAGUCCUAAAAGUUGGGGAUUCUAUGACAUAUAGAACCAAAUGCUAUUCAGUGUGAAUAAUGCUGCUUGUUGUUUAAGGCUUAUUAUGCACCAAGCCUUGUGCUGAAUACUUCACUUGAGUUCUUUCAUUUAAUCCUGACAUAAAAGGUGGCCU